CACCCUCCAAGCUCUGCUUGAUGUUGGAUGUUGUGUUUUUUCUUUUUAGGGGAGGCACACAUCUGUAACUUGUAGGCGUCCGUCACUGUCGAGACACCGAGAGCGUAGCAAGACUUUUUGUCAAUUUUCGCUCUGUCGGGACUCCAGCGGACUGCCCUUACGAUUUAGAGGGGUAACCCUCUAAUCAUUUACUGA
rnacentral:misc_RNA from 1 species